GGUGAACGCUGGCGGCGUGCCUAAUACAUGCAAGUCGAGCGAACGGACGAGAAGCUUGCUUCUCUGGUGUUAGCGGCGGACGGGUGAGUAACACGUGGAUAACCUACCUAUAAGACUGGGAUAACUUCGGGAAACCGGAGCUAAUACCGGAUAAUAUUUUGAACCGCAUGGUUCAAAAGUGAAAGACGGUCUUGCUGUCACUUAUAGAUGGAUCCGCGCUGCAUUAGCUAGUUGGUAAGGUAACGGCUUACCAAGGCAACGAUGCAUAGCCGACCUGAGAGGGUGAUCGGCCACACUGGAACUGAGACACGGUCCAGACUCCUACGGGAGGCAGCAGUAGGGAAUCUUCCGCAAUGGGCGAAAGCCUGACGGAGCAACGCCGCGUGAGUGAUGAAGGUCUUCGGAUCGUAAAACUCUGUUAUUAGGGAAGAACAUAUGUGUAAGUAACUGUGCACAUCUUGACGGUACCUAAUCAGAAAGCCACGGCUAACUACGUG
rnacentral:rRNA from 1 species